rnacentral:rRNA from 1 species
GACGAACGCUGGCGGCGUGCUUAACACAUGCAAGUCGAACGAAGUGGCGAACGGGUGAGUAACGCGUAAUCAACCUGCCCUUCAGAGGGGGACAACAGUUGGAAACGAAUGCUAAUACCUCAUACUGACGUCUGUGAUUGCGUCUGAUUGGCUAGUUGGAGGGGUAACGGCCCACCACGUCGAUUAUCAGUAGCCGGGUGGGGAGAAUGAACGGCCACAUUGGGACUGAGACACGGCCCAGACUCCUACGGGAGGCAGCAGUGGGGAAUCUUCCGCAAUGGACGAAAGUCUGACGGAGCAACGCCGCGUGAGUGAUGACGGCCUUCGGGUUGUAAAGCUCUGUUAAUCGGGACGCGGUACCGGAAUAGAAAGCCACGGCUAACUACGUGCCAGCCGCCGCGGUAAUAC